rnacentral:lncRNA from 1 species
CACCUGCAUUCAAAAAUGAUCACGGGCUGCCUGUGCUCUGGUCAUCAAUAACGCAGGGAGAGGAAUUGCUGAAAGCCGUUUCCCGUGUUUGGAGGGUUCACACCUGUCCCUUUCAAAUGCUGGCGCUUUCACACACUCCUUCUCUCCUGCCAGCACCUUCUGGUCUCAGGAGCAUUGCAGGAUGUUGUGGAUGCUGCCUUGGGUCUGGAAACUGUUAGAGGAAACCCCAAGAGGUGCAGGCACUGAGCCUCUCAGGACAAUGACCUGGGGUCCCAGCUCCCCUGGAGGGGCCUCCUCAUGAUUGUUUGGGGGUUGAUCACAGACCAAGAGUGACGAGUGAUGUCACCCUGUGACUCAUGGCUGGACCUUCUUGCCCCUAUUGUCUCAGCACAACAUUAUUCGACUUUUCCCUCAGCGUGGGUGGGCAGAGGAAAAGCCCUGUGGCUCUGGGGACUUGGGAUCCAGAGUUGAAGACCCUUCAGCUGGCUCUGCCCUGCCAGUGCCACAGAGUGCCAUGGCCCAGGAAGACAGGUUUUCUUCCAUCUAGGCCAGGCCAUCCAGUGGCCAUCCUCCGUGUCCUCCCGCCUCCUCCUGGUGUGACUUCUGAAAACCAAGAAUUUGUUCCUGUUGACUUUUUCUGUGCUAUGGACCAUUGUCCUCUCACCCACUCAAUAAAUCUUGAAACAUGCCCUGCUGCUUGUUCUUUCA